rnacentral:rRNA from 1 species
UGGUGGAGCGAUUUGUCUGGUUAAUUCCGAUAACGAACGAGACUCUAGCCUGCUAAAUAGACGUAACUUAUGGUAUCUCGAAGGCCCUCGGCUUCGGUCGGUGGGUUUUUACUACCAACGUACAAACAAAUCUUCUUAGAGGAACAGGCGGCUUCUAGCCGCACGAGAUUGAGCAAUAACA